rnacentral:rRNA from 1 species
AAAUUGAAGAGUUUGAUCAUGGCUCAGAUUGAACGCUGGCGGCAGGCCUAACACAUGCAAGUCGAGCGGUAGCACAGAGAGCUUGCUCUCGGGUGACGAGCGGCGGACGGGUGAGUAAUGUCUGGGAAACUGCCUGAUGGAGGGGAUAACUACUGGAAACGGUAGCUAAUACCGCAUAAUGUCGCAAGACCAAAGUGGGGACCUUCGGGCCUCAUGCCAUCAGAUGUGCCCAGAUGGGAUUAGCUAGUAGGUGGGGUAACGGCUCACCUAGGCGACGAUCCCUAGCUGGUCUGAGAGGAUGACCAGCCACACUGGAACUGAGACACGGUCCAGACUCCUACGGGAGGCAGCAGUGGGGAAUAUUGCACAAUGGGCGCAAGCCUGAUGCAGCCAUGCCGCGUGUGUGAAGAAGGCCUUCGGGUUGUAAAGCACUUUCAGCGGGGAGGAAGGCGGUGAGGUUAAUAACCUCAUCGAUUGACGUUACCCGCAGAAGAAGCACCGGCUAACUCCGUGCCAGCAGCCGCGGUAAUACGGAGGGUGCAAGCGUUAAUCGGAAUUACUGGGCGUAAAGCGCACGCAGGCGGUCUGUCAAGUCGGAUGUGAAAUCCCCGGGCUCAACCUGGGAACUGCAUUCGAAACUGGCAGGCUAGAGUCUUGUAGAGGGGGGUAGAAUUCCAGGUGUAGCGGUGAAAUGCGUAGAGAUCUGGAGGAAUACCGGUGGCGAAGGCGGCCCCCUGGACAAAGACUGACGCUCAGGUGCGAAAGCGUGGGGAGCAAACAGGAUUAGAUACCCUGGUAGUCCACGCCGUAAACGAUGUCGAUUUGGAGGUUGUGCCCUUGAGGCGUGGCUUCCGGAGCUAACGCGUUAAAUCGACCGCCUGGGGAGUACGGCCGCAAGGUUAAAACUCAAAUGAAUUGACGGGGGCCCGCACAAGCGGUGGAGCAUGUGGUUUAAUUCGAUGCAACGCGAAGAACCUUACCUGGUCUUGACAUCCACAGAACUUUCCAGAGAUGGAUUGGUGCCUUCGGGAACUGUGAGACAGGUGCUGCAUGGCUGUCGUCAGCUCGUGUUGUGAAAUGUUGGGUUAAGUCCCGCAACGAGCGCAACCCUUAUCCUUUGUUGCCAGCGGUUCGGCCGGGAACUCAAAGGAGACUGCCAGUGAUAAACUGGAGGAAGGUGGGGAUGACGUCAAGUCAUCAUGCCCGUUACGACCGGGGCUACACACGUGCUACAAUGGCAUAUACAAAGAGAAGCGACCUCGCGAGAGCAAGCGGACCUCAUAAAGUAUGUCGUAGUCCGGAUUGAGUCUGCAACUCGACUCCAUGAAGUCGGAAUCGCUAGUAAUCGUAGAUCAGAAUGCUACGGUGAAUACGUUCCCGGCCUUGUACACACCGCCCGUCACACCAUGGGAGUGGGUUGCAAAAGAAGUAGGUAGCUUAACCUUCGGGAGGGCGCUUACCACUUUGUGAUUCAUGACUGGGGUGAAGUCGUAACAAGGUAACCGUAGGGGAACCUGCGGUUGGAUCACCUCCUUACCUUAAAGAA